rnacentral:rRNA from 1 species
AGUGAACGCUGGCGGCGUGCCUAAUACAUGCAAGUCGAACGGAGUGGCGCACGGGUGAGUAAUAUAUAGCUAAUCUGCCCCUUGCUGGAGGACAACAGUUAGAAAUGACUGCUAAUACUCCAUAGCAAGGGAUGAGCCUAUAUCGUAUCAGCUAGUCGGUGGGGUAACGGCCUACCGAGGCUAUGACGCGUAACUGGUCUGAGAGGAUGAUCAGGCACAUUGUAACUGAGACACCGGCCAAACUCAUACGGGAGUGAGCAGUAGGGAAUUGUGCGCAAGGGGGGAAACCCUGACGCAGCAUCGCCGCGUGGAGGAUGACACGUUGCGGAGCGUAAACUCCUUUUGUUAGGGAAGCGGUACCUAACGAAGAAGCACCGGCUAACUCCGUGCCAGCAGCCGCGGUAAUAC